rnacentral:rRNA from 1 species
AUAUUGGACAAUGGGCGAAAGCCUGAUCCAGACAUGCCGCGUGUGUGAAGGAGGUAUUCGGAUUGUAAAGCACUUUCAGUUGGGAGGAAGGGUUGUUGGCUAAUAUCCAGAAAUUUUUACGUUACUGACAGAAUACGCACCGGCUAACUCAGUCACAGCAGCCGAGGGAAUACAGAGGGUGCAAGCGUUAAUCGGAAUUACGGGGCGUAAAGCGCGCGUAGGUGGUUCAGUAAGAUGGGUGUGAAAUCCCCGGGCUUAACCUGGGAACUGCUUUCAUAACUGCUGAGCUAGAGUACGGUAGAGGGUAGUGGAAUUUCCUGUGUAGCGGUGAAAUGCGUAGAUAUAGGAAGGAACACCAGUGGCGAAGGCGACUACCUGGACUGAUACUGACACUGAGGUGCGAAAGCGUGGGGAGCAAACAG